AUUGAACGCUGGCGGCAGGCCUAACACAUGCAAGUCGAGCGGGGUUUUCGGACCUAGCGGCGGACGGGUGAGUAAUGCGUAGGAAGCUACCCGAUAGAGGGGGAUACCAGUUGGAAACGACUGUUAAUACCGCAUAAUGUCUACGGACCAAAGUGUGGGACCUUCGGGCCACAUGCUAUCGGAUGCGCCUACGUGGGAUUAGCUAGUUGGCGGGGUAAUGGCUCACCAAGGCGACGAUCCCUAGCUGGUUUGAGAGGAUGAUCAGCCACACUGGAACUGAGACACGGUCCAGACUCCUACGGGAGGCAGCAGUGGGGAAUAUUGGACAAUGGGCGCAAGCCUGAUCCAGCCAUGCCGCGUGUGUGAAGAAGGCCUUCGGGUUGUAAAGCACUUUCGGUAGGGAGGAAGGGUGUUGUGUUAAUAGCACAGCAUUUUGACGUUACCUACAGAAGAAGCACCGGCUAACUCUGUGCCAGCCGCCGCCGUAAAAC
rnacentral:rRNA from 1 species